UGUGCCUCUGGAUUUUUUCAACGCAAAAAAUGUGCCUUGGCUCAAAAAAGGUUGAAAAACACUGCCCUAAGGAAUCAUACGUAUCUUCGGAUGGCCCCGCCCCUAAUUUAAUGUGCUUAUGCUGCCACUUUAUAUCGUCUGCGCUUUCCUCAGCAAGAGGAGGACAAAUUCCCUCUGAGAGGUUCUCCAGACUUUUCACAUGAACAACCACGGACUCUAGAAUUGAACGUGGACGGGUGUGUGUAUAGCUGAAGGUUGCAAAAGCAGUGUGUUGUUAAAUGUAAAUAUGGUAAUUUAUUCCCUGCUUCGCCGUAUUCAAGAGGUUCCCCCUCUCUUAAAAAUGGAAUGAAGUUUUAUUUUUAUCAAAGUUGAACGGAAAUGUUUUGCACUGCAUUUUUUCACUACUAUGGUGGGAUUGUUUUGUUCUCACGGAAUGAGUUUCCUCUUGAGAUAAUAGUUUUUAUGUGUCUGGAAGUGUCGACGGAGCGGGGAGUUUUCUAUGGGUUACUUUACGACGUUUGCAGCCUGUCAGUCAGUCCUAUUGUAUUUUCACUUCCCCGAGUUCUCCGUGAGCACAAGUGUCUGCACUGCCAUGGCCAAGCAACAGCACCAAAUUUCUGAGGUCUUACAUUUGACAAGCAAACAUCCCCAUUCUGCUUGUAAACCUUUUGCGAGCAGCUAUUGUCCACUUUGUAUUUGUCCGGUGAAGUGAGGCCAGAGUACGCAAUCAUGCCGUCUACCACUUCUUAUUCAAUGUAUGAGAUUUUAAUGCCUUAUGCAAUUGGUCAUUUACUGAAUGACAAAUGCCAUUUACCUGUCAAUUAUCAGUACGAGCGCACAGAAUAAAAUGCAUUUAAGUGGC